rnacentral:rRNA from 1 species
CCUACGGGAGGCAGCAGUGGGGAAUAUUGGACAAUGGGGGCAACCCUGAUCCAGCAAUGCCGCGUGAGUGAUGAAGGCCUUCGGGUUGUAAAGCUCUUUUGGCGGGGAGGCGGUACCCGCAGAAUAAGCCCCGGCUAACUUCGUGCCAGCAGCCGCGGUAAUACGAAGGGGGCAAGCGUUGUUCGGAAUUACUGGGCGUAAAGGGCGCGUAGGCGGCUUACCAAGUCAGGCGUGAAAUUCCCGGGCUCAACCUGGGGGCUGCGCUUGAUACUGGUGAGCUUGAAUACGGGAGAGGAUAGUGGAAUUCCCAGUGUAGAGGUGAAAUUCGUAGAUAUUGGGAAGAACACCAGUGGCGAAGGCGGCUAUCUGGCCCGUAUUGACGCUGAGGCGCGAAAGCGUGGGGAGCAAACAGGAUUAGAUACCCUUGUAGUC